rnacentral:rRNA from 1 species
CGAACGCUGGCGGCGUGCCUAACACAUGCAAGUCGAACGUGAACGGCUUCGGCCUAGUAAAGUGGCGUACGGGUGAGUAACGCGUAGGUAAUCUACCCCAGAGUCUGGAAUAACCGGCCGAAAGGCUGGCUAAUACUGGAUAGAGUCGACGGAAUCCGUAAUUGGGUUUUUCGGAAAGGAGCUCGCAAGAGCCCUGCUUUGGGAUGAGCCUGCGUCUCAUUAGCUAGUUGGUAAGGUAAUGGCUUACCAAGGCUUUGAUGGGUAGCUGGUCUGAGAGGAUGAUCAGCCACACUGGAACUGAAACACGGUCCAGACUCUACGGGAGCAGCAGUGGGAAUAUGGACAAUGGGCGCAAGCCUGAUCCA